rnacentral:rRNA from 1 species
UACGUAGGGUGCAAGCGUUGUCCGGAAUUAUUGGGCGUAAAGAGCUCGUAGGCGGUUUGUUGCGUCGGCUGUGAAAUCCCGAGGCUCAACCUCGGGUCUGCAGUCGAUACGAGCAAACUAGAGUGUUGCAGGGGAGACUGGAAUUCCUGGUGUAGCGGUGAAAUGCGCAGAUAUUCGCAAGAACACCAGUGGCGAAGGCGGCUCACUGGCCCGGUACGUCGGACUGACUGAGGUGCG